GACGAACGCUGGCGGCGUGCUUAACACAUGCAAGUCGAACGGAAAGGCCUCUUUCGGGGGGUACUCGAGUGGCGAACGGGUGAGUAACACGUGAGUAACCUGCCCUUGACUUUGGGAUAACUUCAGGAAACUGGGGCUAAUACCGGAUAGGAGCUCCUGCUGCAUGGUGGGGGUUGGAAAGUUUCGGCGGUUGGGGAUGGACUCGCGGCUUAUCAGCUUGUUGGUGGGGUAGUGGCUUACCAAGGCUUUGACGGGUAGCCGGCCUGAGAGGGUGACCGGCAAAAUGGGGCUGGAGAAAGGGCCGGGACCCGUACGGGAGGCAGAAGGGGGGAAUUUGGAAAAAGGGGGGGAGGCCUGAGGCAGAAGCGCCGUGGGGGGGAGGACGGCUUGGGGGUGGAAACCCGUUUUCGCUAAUGAGGAUGCUUGGUGUGAGGGUGGUGGAUAAAAAAGCCCCGGCUAACUACGUC
rnacentral:rRNA from 1 species